UACGUAGGGUGCAAGCGUUAAUCGGAAUACUGGGCGUAAAGCGUGCGCAGGCGGUGAUGUAAGACAGAUGUGAAAUCCCCGGGCUCAACCUGGGACCUGCAUUUGUGACUGCAUCGCUAGAGUACGGUAGAGGGGGAUGGAAUUCCGCGUGUAGCAGUGAAAUGCGUAGAUAUGCGGAGGAACACCGAUGGCGAAGGCAAUCCCCUGGACCUGUACUGACGCUCAUGCACGAAAGCGUGGGGGAGCAAACAGG
rnacentral:rRNA from 1 species